rnacentral:tRNA from 1 species
UCCUUCGUUGUGUAAUGGUUAGCACACUUGGUGUGUAUUUCGAGAGAUCCGAGGUUCGAGUCCCGGCGAGGGCA